AUGGAGGGACAGAGUAGUGAACUGACCAACUCCCAGCAACCAGGUGGCGCUGCGGCCCACGACUAUGAACCUGGCCUACUUUCUGGACAAAUAUUGUCCAAACUGGUCGCGGUUGCUCGAGAACCCGACUACCCUUCUAGGGAUUUCACUGAAGAACAGCGUAGCGACGAGCUAGAAGCUGUAAUUGAUCAAAUAGAAAACCCGGAUGGUACAAAACCAAUCCAGGUUCACUUAGCUAAGUUAGCCCUGAUCCUCUAUCAGAGAGAACUCCAACAUGAUCGAGAGAUCAUGAAGCUCCAGAGCAUGCUAGCUGAAAGGCAGCAAAAUGGAAGGCAGAAGGAUGACGAGGAGGAAGACAGCACCGAUUCUGGGGAAGAUGGGGAGAAGACCCCGCCCCCUUCUGCUGAUGACAACAGACAGUGGGAAGGGGGGGAACACCGGGACUCUCUGGACGGACGCACGCCGCAGGGGAGAGAUGAAGCUUAUCUGUCCCAACCUUCGGCCCCGUUCCCUACACACACUAUAGGGCAUUCAGGACCAUCUAGGGGCCGAGGGCAGUUCGCCCUCGAACCCCAGGUUGGACCACCACCCUCAUCUUCACGGCCUUCUCAAUCAGUGAGAAGUCGACCAGCUGAGCGGCACCUCUAUUUAGACCGCUCCCCCAGUCCACGAAGGGUGCAAGGUGCCGAUUGGGGUUAUGCACCCCAAGCUGCACCUCAACCAUCCACCCAUCCUAGCUACUCCGGUAUUCGGCAUGCCGAUAACCAGCUGCAGGACAAAGCAUCAUACGCCAGUCCGUAUCCGGACAAAGUGUAUUACGCAGAAGCCCCAGUUGAAAGACGCAGGCUGCACUACGCAGACGUGCCCCGGGAGGAGGACCUCCCAAGACACCCACGUGACGUGCCAGCAGCCCGCCACAGCAUGCCGGACCCCGAUUUGGGCCCCAGGAGUCAACAUUGGGAGCCCAGAGCACACCAGCGAUAUCCAGCGCCCUCUGAGACAGACCGUGGGUCAGAGUCAGAGGAUGACGCGCCGUACCGUGAGUCAGGGCUCCGUGUACGUCAAAUUGAAUCGCUAGCUAAAGACAUAGAACGCUUUGAUCCUAACACCAAUGAAUCCAACGUCGACGAUUAUCUCAGGGAGAUAGAACGUUGUCUGCUUGAUCUUCCAGCACCCUCUUCAAGGGAAAAGCUCAAGCUAAUUUGGAAAACCACAUCUAGAACGGUGCACGGUUUCAUGGAAACUCUACCACCUGACAUUCGAGAUCGGUACUCCUGCUUAUUUCCAAGGUCGAAACGGCCCUGGGCUCGAGGAAGACCCUGCCUUCAGAUCCCUGUUCAUUCACAACCUGCACGAGUGUGUUCGCUCCGAAGUCUCAAUGUAUUGUCGGAUGAAAAAACUGACAACUCAGGAGAUUAGGAGAUACGCUCAACAGGCUUGGGAAGCCGGCGGAAAGCCCCAAAAGCCUGACGCACAUCACCGCGUCAUGCACCUAACUCCCGACGCCGAGCCGCGUUUGGAGCUCGAAGGCACAGAAGCUCCACCCAC
ensembl:lncRNA